rnacentral:rRNA from 1 species
AACCGGGUGAUCUAUCCAUGUCCAGGUUGAAGCGAAAGUAAAAUUUCGUGGAGGACCGAACGCACAUCCGUUGAAAAGGGUGGCGAUGAGGUGUGGAUAGGGGAGAAAUUCCAAUCGAACCCGGAGAUAGCUGGUUCUCCUCGAAAUAGCUUUAGGGCUAGCCUCAUGCAAGUCUUACGGAGGUAGAGCACUGAAUUCCUAAGGGGGCGUCAAAGCUUACCAAGGGAUAUCAAACUCCGAAUGCCGCAGAGAUGAUGUAUGGGAGUCAGACUGCACGAGAUAAGUUGGGCAGUCAAAAGGGAAAGAGCCCAGACCUACAGCUAAGGUCCCAAAGUGUGUGUUAAGUGGAAAAGGAUGUGGGAUUUCAAAGACAACUAGGAUGUUGGCUCAGAAGCAGCCACACAUUCAAAGAGUGCGUAAUAGCUCACUAGUCGAGAGGUCCUGCGCCGAAAAUGUCCGGGGCUGAAACACAACACCGAAGCUUAGGAACGAGAGAUCGUUGGUAGAGGAGCAUUCUUAAAGGGGCGAAGCAGUACCGGCAAGGAGCUGUGGACUUUUAAGAAGAGAGAAUGCCGGAAUGAGUAGCGAGAGGAAGGUGAGAAUCCUUCCGGCCGAAUAUCUAAGGUUUCCAGAGUAAAGCUGAUCUGCUCUGGGUAAGUCGGGGCCUAAGGCGAGGCUGAAAAGCGUAGUCGAUGGACAACAGGUUGAAAUUCCUGUACUGCAUAUCAUCAGAACUGUGGGGACACAGAACCGAAGUCAAACCCGGGAAUGAAAAGACCGGGGCAAGCGUAGGACUGGUUAGGCUGGCAAAUCCGCUUAACAACAGGAGGACGUGACGCGUAGCGAACAUUAGUAGCGAAGUUGGCGUAGGGGCUGUCAAGAAAAGCCGCUAUUGUGUGAUACGUGCCCGUACCGUAAACCGACACAGGUGGAUGAGGAGAGAAUCCUAAGGCCGGCGGGAGAAGCAUUGUUAAGGAACUCGGCAAAAUGACCCUGUAACUUCGGGAUAAAGGGUGCCCACGAGAGUGGGCCGCAGAGAAUAGGCUCAAGCAACUGUUUAGCAAAAACACAGGUCUAUGCAAAACCGUAAGGUGAGGUAUAUGGGCUGACGCCUGCCCGGUGCUGGAAGGUUAAGGGGAGAGGUUAGCCGUAAGGCGAAGCUUUGAACUUAAGCCCCAGUAAACGGCGGCCGUAACUAUAACGGUCCUAAGGUAGCGAAAUUCCUUGUCGGGUAAGUUCCGACCCGCACGAAAGGCGUAAUGAUUUGGGCACUGUCUCAACAAUGCACCCGGUGAAAUUGAAAUACCAGUGAAGAUGCUGGUUACCUGCGCCAGGACGGAAAGACCCCAUGGAGCUUUACUCCAGCUUGAUACUGGGAUUCGGUAAUGCAUGCACAGGAUAGGUGGGAGGCUACGAGUACGGAACUCCGGUUUCGUAUGAGCCGCUGUUGGGAUACCACCCUUGCGUUACUGGGUUUCUAACCAUGGUCCAUGAUCUGGAUCGGGGACAAUGUCAGGUGGGGAGUUUGACUGGGGCGGUCGCCUCCGAAAGGGUAUCGGAGGCGCUCAAAGGUUCCCUCAGAAUGGUUGGAAACCAUUCGAAGAGUGCAAAGGCAGAAGGGAGCUUGACUGCGACACCGACGGGUGGAGCAGGUACGAAAGUAGGACUUAGUGAUCCGGUGGUAUAAAGUGGGAUUGCCAUCGCUCAACGGAUAAAAGCUACCCUGGGGAUAACAGGCUUAUCACUCCCAAGAGUUCACAUCGACGGAGUGGUUUGGCACCUCGAUGUCGGCUCAUCGCAUCCUGGGGCUGUAGCAGGUCCCAAGGGUUGGGCUGUUCGCCCAUUA